CAGUCUCCCUGAGAAGUGGCCUCAAUUUAUAUUACGUGUAAUUUUCGUUUCUGGGCGAAUUACCGUAUAGCUUCAUGCAAUAUUUUUAAUGUGCAGUGUUUUUCUAGUUUGUGUCUAUCAGUAUUACAUAUUGUCAACGAUGUAACAAGACUGUCUCCACGUAACUAUUCCAAGUAGUAGCUAAAGCUUUGCUAUUCACAUUGACCUUGGUUGUUUCGUAUACGUGUAGAUAUCCUGACUAUACUUCAAGCAAACUGACAGAUGAUUUACAAUAAGGUGAUGGAACCUACAAUGACUAAAGAGGUUGAUGGCGGGGAUGGAGAAUCCAACACCUUAUUCUAGCCUGACCUGAAGAAAAAUAUGAAAUUACAAAGGAAAAGAAAGCUUUUAGCUGAACCCGGGUGACGACGAUGAACGAGCUUGAUACAGAACAAAGUCUGAAAGAUUCGUCGAGCGAUGAAAAUAAUUCGAGUAUAUAACAAGAGGAAUAUUUUUGGACUAAGAAGUUUUAACGUGAAUAAGAUGUUCGUUGCUGAAUCCGGCGUUUUGGAUCGAGGUUUAAAGAGGAGUUUCUUGGCUUUCGUUCUUUUGGCUUACAGGUCACAACAAAUCAAUUUGUCGCGAAAGGAGGCUGUUAUAAGUCGAUUGUGACUGAAGGAUAAAAUGCUACCUUACAAGACCUUCAACUUUUCCGUCGCCUACUGCUAAGUUUCCGGUGGUAAUUCAUCUUCGUAUAAUUCAGUGAUGUAACCUGGUGCUGAGUAAUUAUCUCGCAUUUUAAGAACAUCUGCUGUUUGUAAAAGGAAAAAUGAACUGCGCCUUCAGUCCUUCCAUGGUAUUUUUUUUUUCUUUGAAGUCUUCAGCAAGCUCAAGGUUUCCAUCCAUCCUGAUGUUGAACAACAGUUAAGAGUCAUCCAGAUGGUGUCCUGCUACUUCAUGACAACUGUUGGUGCUAUUUGUCUUAUGUUAGUAUGUCAAGAUCAAAUGAUACUAUUCUUAAGGAAUCUAAGGAACUAGAACGGGGUCUCUUCCAUUGGACUGUAAAUAACACGUGGCCCUGUAAGCAGCACUUUGGACUGUGUUCAACAUAAUGCGGCUGUAAGUAGCUUGCUGAUCAUAAGAUAUUGGUCGUGUAAGU